AUUGAUUCAAUGCCACGUAUGGUUUCUUACUAAGUCCAAAAUUCGUAUAUUUUACUGCAUGGCCAGAAGUAUAGAAACGAUUGAACUAAUAAUUCUUAACUUCUCCUCUAAAACCCUCAUUUCAAUAUAACAUUAAUUGUUGUCCUAUCUUGAUCAGAUCCCUGAAAUGGAUGAUCUAAGCCCUGAAAAGGCUUCGGAGACAAAUAAAUCGGUGAUGAAAGAUAUACAUGACAAAACUAAAACAAAGCAUGAAGAGCCAGAUUUUGCAAGUAACAAGCCAAUUAAUCAGACUAACAUGCCUGAACAAAGUCGAAUUCCUGAAGAAGAAAAUACUAUCAUGGAAAGCAAAACGGAGUCAAGCUUCCCAAAGGAUGCAAUUGAAAAUGCCCUGAAAUCAGACCCUGAUGAGAAAGAUGAGGAAAUGCUAAAGAAUGAGGAAUCCUCACAUAUUUUCCCAGAGUCCUCUCCCAACGUUGAUCAUAAAAUUGCUAGGGGAUUAUCUCAUCAAGAUGAAGGGAACAAGAUAUGUGAGGAUGCAGCACUAGAAACCCCAUCUGGCAAUCAAAGCCGUGAAGCAGAUGAGGAGCAAAUAGAAAUUGGGAAACCUAAAAAGCUGAACGAACUUAAACAAGAUAUUCCUAUGAAGUACUUUGAUGCUGUAAACAGUCAAGAAGAGACGAUACAUAAAGAAAAUCCUGAUAAUGUGGAAGAGAGCGAGAAGUGUGAAGUAAAGGAUGAAACUGCUUUAACACUCGAGCGAGCAUCUGCAGCGGACUCUGAAGAGCCCAGUCAUUGGCUGUUUAGCAGUUGUGAGAAGGUAUCCAAGUCUUAACCCAUACAAAAAUUUCAACAUUCUUUAUCCUUAUUUAUGAAUUGUUAAUGAAUAAACUAUUGACAAAGAAUUUUAAGUUUCUAUCCGCACAAGUUGUGCCCACCAUGCCAUACCAUGCAGACAAUAUAUCAGCAUGAUACCACCCGCAUGCCGAUGGCACAACUCAAAAUCAUUUUUUUUUCAAAAAUUAACAAGUAGCUACAUUAAUCAAAUACCAAAGAAUAUAGUUGUGCCAAAAGAAAAUAUAUGUUUUCAUAGUUGGAUAAAUUGAGUAGAAAAAGUAUAUGAAGCAGAAAGAUGAAAAAGUCUUUGAGUGUAGCAAUGCCACUCUCCUUAAAGCUAAAUCGUCCCCACCAUUCUCGUAAUUUGGUGUGCACUGGGUUAACAAAUAGCUUCUCAGGAUACAAUGAAAUAUAAACCUCAACUUCGUUUGCACACGUGAAGUCGAGCCUUUGAGCACUCACUCGAUUAAAUUGUCAAAAAGAAAAUAGAAUAAGAAACAAGAAAUUAUUAUAGAUAGAGACUUAAACUUUCCAACUGUCCUUCAGCAGUCAACGUUAUGGACUUAUAUGGACCACGAACAGGUGCUUUAUGAAGUGACAAUUCAUGAACGGGUGCUUCAUGAAGUGACUUUUCCUUUGAUCAUAACUAUCAAUUAGUUAUAUGAGUCAAGUUCAAUGAAUGUAAGAAUUAAUUUCAACGGACAUCCAUGAAAGGACACACUAAAAAGUUGUCUUUCUAUGUCUUAUCCUUUCAAUAAAAAUCACAUCCUUUCAUAUUCAUUCACCAAGAGUUACGACCUUUGAUUAGAGUCACAUCUACUCACUAAGAGUCGCAUUUGUACUAAGGGUUGCAUCCAUUCACUAAAACUCAAAGGACAAAAUAAAUAUAUAUUUUAAAAAUUUCCUUACAUUCAUGCCACAAUGUAUUGGCACAUAGAUAUCGUGCCAACAGCAUAGAUUGACACGGCAUAGCACGAUGGUGUGCCAUGCCACACCGUUGCUUAGCAUGAACCUGCAACUGACUAAGUGCAAAAUGUAGAUCAGAAGAUGAAAGAUGGGCAACCAAAAAAAAAAAGAGAAAGUAAGAUUUGUAGUUUCUGCAAGGGGCAUUUUAGCCAACUAAUCUCAUCCAAACUUUAUAUUCUAAAAAUAGGCCUACGAAAAUCGUAUUUACGGAAAUAGGCACGAAACUGCCACGUAAGCAGUGAGAUAGCGGAGGAAGAUAGAAGCCGUGAACCAAGUACCACUUUCAAGUGAAGACGGUAAAUGAUUCACCGCUUUCAUAAAAUUUUAAAAAUCCUAUGAAGGCGGUGAAUGGUUCACCGCCUUCAUGCAAUUCCCCGCGCAGAAUAUAAUAGUUAUGAACGCGGUGAAUGGUUCACUGCAUAUUAAGGCGGUGAAUCAUUUACCGCUUUUAUAUGCAGUGAUCCAUUCACCGCAUUUAUGAUAACCCCCACCCAGCCAAUUAGUUUGCAGAUUCCCACAUUAUACAAAAUAGCAAUAUUUUCAAGCAUUUCAAUUACAAGAAUAAAUACACAAAAUCAUCUAUAUCAACUUCAACCACACUUUAAGCAUAUAAAAUGAGCCAUACCAAUAUCAAGAUACUUCAAUAUGAAUAAAUUUAGAUAAUACCAUAAAAAAUCAAUGUAGAAAAAAUCAGAAAUAUCAAAUAUACAUGAGAAUCCCAAAAAUGAUAAACAAAAUCAAGUCCCCUCCAUCCCCCUCACAUGCUCUCGCCCUCGUCCCCUGCCACGUCCACGUCUGCGUCCACAACCGCGUCCUCGACUUCGUCCUCGAAUAUGCAUAUCAUGCUCCAUCCCAGGCUGCACGGGCUCAAUGACAUGCAUCUGAUCAAUAUGCUCAAUGGCGAUGCCCUCGACAAUCGGCUCCACCCCUUGCUCAUCAGCCGAUGGUACUGCGUCUCAAUAUGACCCUAUCAUCGUCGCCUACAUCAAUAUACAACAUCAUCGCAAUGAACCUAUGACGUGGAUGAAACGUCAGGAGGGAUAGGCAUGAAUGGAAUAUCAAAAUAGGAUACCUCUGACGUAGAUGGAAUAUCAAAUGGAGGGAUGGAUGCCGACGAAAUAUCAAACUCCACUUCUGAUGUCGAAGGGAUAUCAGAUGUCGAAGGGACAUCAGAUGGAUGAAUCGGGACAGAUGUCGAUAGAAAAUCAUAUGUAGGCAUGGAGGUGGAGGGAAUAUCACCAAAAUCAUAUACAGGCAUGGAGGUGGAGGGAAAAUCACUGUAAUCAGCAAAAGCCGGAGAAGGAAUAUCCGGAUGCCCUGUCACGGGAAAAGGGCCACCAACAACUACAUUCGAAAAUUCGUACUCCCUACAAUUGAUAGAAGAAGGCAAUCUAAAAUAAUUAUACAAUUGUUAUAUUAAAAUAAUUAUACAAAAGUCAUAUUUUGCAAUACUAACCUGGGUGCAUUUGCUCCUCCUCCAAUAUCAGCACGAAAAUGUUCUCUUUCGGGGCCAGGGAAUAAUACAUCCACAUUAAAGUCACUAUUUAACAUUCUAGAAUAAUACCCCUGAGAUAAAACCAUCUGUUUUUCAACGAAGAUUAUCAAACACGGAGGGUUCCCCGACAAUGCCAUCGCACCACACAAUGAGUCAUCAUCCGUAACUUCAACAACAUCGAACUGAUUCAUCCCAGUCGAAUAUCGGACUUUGAUAAUUAGACGAUACUCAUCUCUUGGGGUAUCGGUCAAUCUAUAUAUUUUUCUCUCGAAUUCUGUAAAUGUAAUAUCCACUGGGAUACACACUUAAUUUCUUACGACCGCCAACGUACUGUGGAUUGCUAUCUUGAGUGAAUAGUUCUCCAUUCCAAUGAACAAUAAUAGCCACAUUACUACGCGCCAUCCUAAUUUUUACAAAAUAUAAUAUUUAUAAACUAACAUAAUCGUAGCAAUAUUUGACCAAUUUAUAAUAUCAAUUUGCAAAUGACAUGUGUUCACUACAUCAGAAAAUAAUAAAUUUAUAAUAUUGUAAUAAUUUUAAAAAAAAAUUAUUAAUUUUUAGUAUAAAUUUAUCAAUUUUCAGUAUAUAUGUAUUUACUACACUCAUUUUUCAAAUUUCAUCAUACGAUGAUGCAAAUGUAAGGAAAUUUUUAAAAUAAUAUAUUUUGUUUAUUAAUUUUUAGUGAAUGGAUGCAACCCUUAGUGAGUGGAUGCAACUCUAAUCAAAGGGUGUAACUCUCAGAGUUAAAGGAUGUGACUUUUAGUGAAAGGAUAUGACAUGAAAAGACACAUCUUUAUCGUGUGUCUCUUCGAGUAUAUGUCCGUUGGAAUUAAUUCUUACAUUUAUUGAACUUGACUCAUAUAACUAAUUGGUAGUUAUGGUCAAAUGAAAAGUCACAAUUGAAAGAUCACUUCACGAAAUACCCGUUCAUGAAUAGUCACUUCAUGAAGCACCCGUUCGUGGUCUAUAUAAGUCCACAGCGUUGGUUGCAGAAACGAAAGUAGAAAAAAAAAGGAACAGUUGAAGAGUUUUAAGUCUCCAUUCAUAAUAAUUCCAUUCUUGUUUUCUUAUUCUUUUUGACAACUUAAUCGAGUAAGUGCUCAAAGGCUCGACUUCGUGUGUGCAAACGCAGUUGAGGUUUAUGCUUCAUUGUAUCUUGGGAGGCUGUUCGUUGACCCGGUGCACACCAAAUUGUUAGAACAGUAGUGACGGAUUAAGCCUUAAGGAAAGUGGCAUUGCUACACGCCUUGAAGCCUUUUUUCAUCUUUCUGUUUCAUACCUUUUUCACUAUCUGCUCUUAAAUCCGAAAAUGUCGACUGCUACUCAACGAGAGAUGACAACAAACUUUAUAAGACUAGAAAGAUUUGAUGGCAUGGACUUCAGGCGCUGGCAGAAGAAAUUAUUUUUCCUUCUGUCGACUCUCAAAGUUGCUUAUAUCCUCACUACUCCAAGACCAGAAGAAAACGAUGAUGAACCUAUUGCACAAACUUGUACAAGACAAAAAUGGGAUGAAGAUGACAAUAUAUGCCGAGGCAACAUUGUAAAUGCUAUGUCGGAUGCGCUUUUUGACGUCUAUCAAAAUAUGAAAAUGGCUAAAGAACUGUGGGAAGGUCUUGAAGAAAAAUACAAAUCCGUGGAUGCCACAAGUAAGAAGUUUCUUGUUAGCAAAUUUAAUAACUAUAAAAUGGUUGAUAGUAGAUAUGUUCUUGAUCAAUUACAUGAAAUUCAACAUAUUCUCAAUCAACUUACUCAACAUAAUAUGAAUAUGGAUGAAUCUAUAAUUGUGGCCUCUAUUAUCGAUAAACUUCCUCCAUCAUGGAAAGACUUUAAGAAAAGUCUUAAGCAUAAAAAGGAAGAGAUUACUCUUAAAGAUUUGGCUAACCAUCUUCGCAUAGAAGAAUAUCGUUUGCAUGAUGGCAAAAAGGAGCAAGAUGCUCGGAGUGUCAAAGUGUAUGUGACGGAAGAUGAGUAUAAUAAAACCCGUCAACCCAUAAAAGAAAAUCGAAAGAGAGCCAAACAUCCGAUCAACCACAACAUGACAAAUAAGAAAAAGAAAGAUGCAUGCUUUCAUUGUGGUAAACCGGGUCACUACAAGAAAGAAUGUCGGUUCCUCGAAAGGGAAAGUGCACCGGAUUCCAAAAGGAAUUUUGUGGCUAUGAUAUCCGAGGCUAACAUACUCGAAGAUGACGGAGUUUGGUGGAUUGAUUCAGGUUCCACAAGACGUGUGCAAGGAUAGAAGUUUAUUUAGAACUUAUGAUGCAUUGGAGGAUGGAAAUGUUCUCUAUGUGGGCAAUUCUUCAACAGCACAAAUCAAAGUAAAGAACACUCCAAUGAGAAAACUGAUGUUGUAAUUGAAACCCCAAAACUUAGAAGAAGUAAAAGAGUUAGAAUUGCUAAAACAUUUGGACCGGAUUUUUAUACUUUUCUUGUUGAGGGUAGUAGAGAAAUGAUUACAGAAAGUUUUCAAUUUUGUUUAAACAUUGACUCAGACCCCUAAACAUUGACUCAGACCCCACAACAUUUGAGGAGGCAAUGAAAUCUCCUGAUGUCACUUUUUGGAAAGAAGCGAUAAAUGAUGAAAUGGACUCAAUUAUGGCCAACCAAACAUGAAAAUUAGUUGAUCUUCCUCAUGGAUGUAAACCUAUUGGGUGUAAAUGGAUUUUCAAAAAAAAAUCAACGUAAAUGGCACCAUAGAUAAAUUCAAGGCAAGACUUGCUGCCAAAGGGUUUACACAAAAAGAAGGCAUUGAUUAUUUUGAUACCUAUGCACCUGUUGCCAGAUUAGCGACCAUUAGAACUUUGAUUGCUCUUGCUUCUAUGUAUAAUUUGAUUAUUCAUCAAAUUGAUGUCAAAGCUGCAUUCUUAAAUGGAGAAUUAGAUGAAAAGUUUAUAUGGAACAGCCCGAGGGCUUUGUUGUUCUUGGACAAGAGCAUAAAGUGUGUAAACUUGUCAUGUCAUUGUAUGGGCUUAAACAAGCACCUAAACAAUGGCAUCAAAAAUUUGAUCAGAUUGUUCUUUCCAAUAGUUAUAAAAUUAAUCAAUCUGAUAAAUGUAUUUAUAGUAAAUUUUCAAAUGGUAAAGGUGUUAUUAUAUGUCUAUAUGUUGAUGACAUGUUAAUUUUUGGCAUCGAUGUUCAGCAAGUAGAAAAUACUAAAAGUUUUUAAUCUUGCAAUUUUGAUAUGAAAGAUAUGGGGGAGGUUGAUAUUAUUUUGGGAAUUAAAAUUAUUCGUGAAAAUAAUGGUUUAUUUUUAACGCAGUCUUAUUAUAUCGAAAAGAUUCUUAGGAAAAAAUUAGUUAUUUUGACUGUACUCCAGUAUCUACUCCUUUUGAUCCUAAUCUAAAAUUAGUUCGCAAUACUGGUAGAUCAAUUAAUCAGUUAGAAUAUUCUAAGAUUAUUGGAAGUUUGAUGUAUGCCAUGUCUUGUACUAGGCCUGAUAUUGCAUUUGCUGUUGGUAAAUUAAGUAGAUUUAUUAGCAAUCCAGGUAAUGUACAUUGGCAUCCUAUUUACAGACUUUUGAAAUAUUUGAAAAAGACUAUGGAAUUUUCUAUAGUGGAUAUCCAACAGUAUUGGAAGGCUAUACAGAUGCCAGUUGGAUAACAAAUCAAGAAGAUCAUGCAUCCACAAGUGGGUAGAUAUUUAUAUUAGGUGGAGGUGCGAUUUCUUGGGGUUCUAAGAAACAAACAUGUAUAGCGGACUCUACCAUGGCAGCAGAAUUUAUAGCACUAGCGUCUGCUAGUAAGGAGGCGAAAUGGAUAAGGAAUUUAUUAUAUGAAAUUCUAGUUUGGCCAAAACCAAUGCCGCCGGUAUCGCUACAUUGCGAUCGUGAGGCUACGCUUUCGAGAGCAUAUAAUCAAACAUACAAUGGGAAGUCAAGACAUAUUGGAUUAAGACAUAGCUAUGUAAAACAACUGAUAUCAGAUGGCAUAAUUACCAUUGAUUUUGUAAGAUCAAACCAAAAUCUUGCGGAUCCGUUGACUAAGGGACUUCCAAGAGAAUUGAUAUUCAAGACAUCAAUGGGGAUGGAUCUCAAGCCCAUAUUACAAAGUCACCAAUGAUAGAAACUCGACUUAACACUUGAAACAUCAUCAAGUCUUAAGUUCAAUGAGCCAAAGUACAUCAUAUGGAGUGAUUGCAAGCACUAUAAUAUAAAAUUUCCAUCCCAAGUGCUUGGUAUCCGUAUUGAAAAGGGAAAGUUGAACUAAUAAAGUUCUUAAUAGACCUACAGUAGUAUUUACUGAAGUGUUAAAUACGGGACACUUCUGGUAGAGUCUACCUAUAUGAAUGUGAAGUGUGGCCGCUUCUAGGAGUUAAGGGCUUGACUCUAACAGCAUUCAUGAAACAGGAUGCGGACACAAGGCCAUAAAAGUGUCAGCAAUAAAAUAGAGCACUCGAUUGAUUAUAAAUUCCUAUGUGUGAGAUAUGUUCGGUUAGUCAAAAAAUAAUUGUUGGUUCAAAGCUUGUCUACCAUUCAAUUAUGUCUAACUUUGAUGAGUUUUCACUAAGUGUAGGUUCAAGUUUUAAUACAACUACACCUAUGCAUACGAUUUUGUCAAGUUGUCAAGAAUUUUGAUUUUUGAUUUUUGAUUUUUGAUUUUUGAUUUUGUUUUAUUUUGUAUUUUGAUGUAUUUUUAUGUAUUUUAAAAAUUGGUAGGGAAUUGUAAGGAAAUUUUUAAAAUAAUAUAUUUUUUUUAUUGAUUUUUAGUGAAUGGAUGCAACCCUUAGUGAGUGGAUGCAACUCUAAUCAAAGGAUGUGACUUUUAGUAAAAGGAUAUGACAUGAAAAGACACAUCUUUAUAGUGUGUCUCUUCGAGUAUAUGUCCGUUGGAAUUAAUUCUUACAUUCAUUGAACUUGACUCAUAUAACUAUUUGGUAGUUAUGGUCAAAUGAAAAGUCACAAUUGAAAGGUCACGUCACGAAAUACCCGUUCGUGGUCUAUAUAAGUCCACAGCGUUGGUUGCAGAAACGAAAGUAGAAAAAAAAAGAAACAGUUGAAGAGUUUAAAUCUCCAUUCAUAAUAAUUUCAUUCUUGUUUUCUUAUUCUUUUUGACAACUUAAUCAAGUGAGAGCUCAAAGGCUCGACUUCGUGUGUGCAAACGCAGUUGAAGUUUAUGCUUCAUUGUAUCCUGGGAGGCUGUUCGUUGACCCGGUGCACACCAAAUUGUUAGAACGGUAGGGAUGGAUUAAGCCUUAAGGAAAGUGGCAUUGCUACACGCCUUGAAGCCUUUUUUCAUCUUUCUAUUUCAUACCUUUUUCACUAUCUGCUCCAACAGCAAAUAGGGUUUAAAAUGUGACCUAAAGUGUGCAUGCUACCAAAUAUAGACAAAAUAUAACUGACAAAAUACAACAAGUUAUAUUGAAAGAACACAAUAAUCUACAAACAAUCAACUGUACUACAAAACCCACUACAACUUUUUUCAAAAAUCUAACCUCUAACCUAAUGAGGACAAUGUGGAUGCAAUGCUGAGGAGAGAGGGUGCGGUGGCGGCCUUGACGGUGGCAGCAGCAGCAGAGUCUUCGGUGCCGGCGACGGCGGCGUCGAAGUCGUCGGGUUCGGGCGGAGUGAGAGAGACAGAGAGGAAAUCGGGGAGAGGAGUAAGGGAGAAAGGAGAAGAGUUCGGGCGGAGUGAGGGAGACAGAGAGGAGAUCGGGGAGAGGAGUGAGGGAGAAAGGAGAAGGGUUCGGGCGGGGUCUAGGGUAUUCUAAUUAAAUGUGGUGAACUGUUCACUGCAUAUAAAAGCGGUAAACGGUUUACCGUAUUUAAAGACGAUGAAUGGUUCACCGCUUUUAAAUGCGGUGAAUAGUUAACCGUCUUUAAAAGUGGUAAACUGUUCACCACCUUUAAAGGAACGCGGUAAACCGUAUUCUUAAUUUUUCACACUAAUUCCCCACACCUGCCAGAGGCCCACAAAUGCGGUGAAUGGUUCACCGCAUAAGUAAAUGCGAUGAACCAUUCACCGCAUAUAAAGAUUUUACUCCGAGGAACUGACCUGGCCUAUUUGAGGCCUACUUUUACAAUAAAAUUUAGAGGACAAUUUUUAGAAAAAAAAUUUUAAGAUUAUUUAUAAAAAAAAUUCGUUUCUGCAACAUAGUACAUUUAUACUGUGCUAUUAAUAAGGUCACAUUUUCUAUUGAGACAUUAUUAUACUGCUGGAACGAAACAUCUAGUGAAUUAUUUAGUCUUCAAACAGAUAUCUGAUGUCACCAAUCUAGGAGAUGAUUACGAACCUAACUCUACAUGCAAAGAACUGCCUCAUGACAAUAUUAAGCGCAAUGAAAGCAAAGUGGAUGAUGAACAAAGAGGAGAAAUUUCAGAAUCCUUUGGAAUUGGAGGUUACGAAAGGAGGGACAACCUCUAAAGCCGAAAGCACCAAGGUGAAACACUAAAAAGAACGCAAAAACAUCACAAAUAUGGCCAUCUCCUUUAUCCAGUGUCCUACAUAGCAAAUUCCGAAAUUCCUCUUAUCUCCUCUUAUUUACUCGAGAACUAGUUGAUUGUUAAUAUACAUAAAAAGUUGUAUAAAACCAAAUAAAAAGGAAAAUGUAAUCUUAAUUUUUUAAGGUUAUGAUAAAUCAACUUGUAGGUAAAUAAACUACCUUAAGAAUUCACAACGACCAGCCAAACUAUGAACUUACAAUCACCCAAGAAAACCAUCAUCAAACAAAGGUGGUCUACAUACAACCUUUUGAGACAUCAGGUAGAUGUUUGCAUUAAAAAGUUUCCGAAAAGAAAAUAAGUUUUCUUAUCCGCUAUAACUUUCUCCUACUAGGCUUUUGUUAGGCUUCUCGCUAUAUUAGCAAGCAAAAUGAUAUCCUAAAUACUUUACCUUAAAUAAGGAAAAUCACAUAAAUAUGUUCCUCUCUAUAAACCAUAAAAGUAAAUUUGAAAUGUGUAAAAUUUCUAAUUUAAAAAUUUUUACAUUUCUAUUUUCCUGAUAUAAUUUGAAAUGUGUGCAGGCCACAGCCUCAGACGGAUUGAGUGAAGAGGCGGACUUUGCAAGUGAAAAGGAUGAAAACAUGUGCAAGAAAGAUGAUUGUGCUAGAGAGACCGCUCAAGAUUUUCUGGAGGAAACUACUCAUAGAGCUUGGAAGGGCGGAGAGGAAACAGAUGCAAAGAAUAUUGGAAGUGAAGACAAUGAUAGAGAUGUAAAAGGAAUCCCUGAUGUGGCACCUCAGGGAGAUUAUAAUACAAAGACACCAGAUAAUACAUACACAAAAGAAAUUAUGAUAGCAAUAGAACAAGAAGAUGAGGCAAGGACACAAGUGAGAUCAGACAAUGAGGAAACAGAAGGUGAAAAGGUAUCAACAUAUCAACUCUGCCCUUUUCAACUUUUGUAGUCUUUUUAAGCAUUUGCUAAUUACUAAACUGUUGACACGUGUAACGAAUUAGGACUGAAGAGGAAACUUGAGCAAUGAUUAUAUGAUUAUAUAGAUAUAAGCCAUAUCUGUUGUUUCCGUGAUACUGUAUUUUCUUUUGUGCUAGUUACCAUUAGCUUUAUUUUUUUAUCAAACCAUUUUAUUAACUUCUUACAAUUUCAUUUAAGCAGAUAUCUAGUGUCAAAGGUGACAGUGAACCCACAAAGGUGGAGAAUGAAUACAUAAGCAACACUGUUGGUGAUGCCUCUGAUACAGGAGAGCCAACUGGGAAGCCUGCAGACGUAGAUGAUGUGGUAGACGAUGUGCAGGAAGAAACCAUAGGAUCUACAUGUGACGAACAACAUCAGGAAAAUAUUGAGAGCAACGAAAAAAACGAGGAUGGUGAACAGAGAGAAGACAAACAUCAAACUCUUCAACAAGAGGAAUUAGUUUCUGAAGUUGAAAAUCAAGAGACAACCUCCACAACAGGCGCUAAAAAGAUGGAGAUCUCAAAAGAAGGCGAAAACCUCAUUAAUAUGGUAACCUGCUUUAUUCAAUUGCAUAGUAUGUUAAAUUCCUUGGGACCUUUCUGGAAGCUAAAAUAACUUACCCAGCAUAUCUUCUCUUACUGACUCGAGAACUAUUUAUUUCUUGAUUGUUAAGGAGAACAAAAUUAUGUCUAAACCGAAGAGCAAAAAAAGUAAGCAAACUUAUUUUUAAGGAUAUGAUAAAUCACCUUGUAGGUGAACUGGUGAAGCAUAUUAGUUUAUAUCAUCAUGGCGGAAAAUUGUCUAAAGUCAAAGUCUGUUCUCAUAAUCACUAAUUGUUACCUCCAUCCAAUACUAGUUAUCUACACAUACAUUAAGGGUUUGUAUAUUGCGCAGUUGUAGAGAUUUUUUACACUCCCUAUCAACCAUUACCACAUGCACCUUGAGCAAACAGAAAGUCAUCAGCUGAACAAGAUACUCGUGCGUCUAAGAUUCUAAAUAGGCCAUAUAGAUUUUGCAUUGAAAGACAAUACAAUAAUUCUAGCCUGUCAACUAUUUUUGAAACUUGUCUUUUAUUAAACCUCUAAUUUACCUACUGUGGGCAGAUUUCUGAAUCAGUAAAUCUGGAGGAAACUAAAAUUGAAAAUGACACGGAUGAUGAGAAGAUCAAGGAGAGCGUUGAAGAUAAUCCCCGAGAUCAUGCCUUGCUUUCACAAACAAGACAUGAUGUAGCAGACGAAGACCACACAAAAGCAGAUCAAAGUUUGGAAGGGAAGGACGGUAAUAUUGUAAGUCUUGAGAAAGAAAGUAUCAAAAGCAAGGGACCUGAUGAGGUUCACCCCAGUGAAUCAGAAGCACAUCAGCGUUUGGUGGACAAAGACAACAAUAUUGUAAGUCUUGAAAAAGAAAGCAUUGAAAGCAAAGGGCCUGAUGAGGUUCAACCCGGUGAAUCAGAAGCCACCAAGGUAGACUUUCUUUUGAAUUCUUCAAAACUUUAUGUAUUUAAUUUAACUAUUCAAUUUGCUUUCCUUAAACUCUCUGUUUUUCCAACAUGCCUCCUCAUCUCAAGUUUGACUUGUGAAAAUUUUGAUCAAGCAGGUUGCUGAAAUUGUUAGCACAACUGACGAAGCUGAAACUACGUCUGUAGAUGGAGGGGAAAGUGUUGAUGUUGACAAAGAUAAGGCAGAGUAUCAAGAGCACAAAAACGUUAUAGAGUCAGUGAUGGAGGAAUAUAAUAAAGGGGGAGCAAAUGAAACACAAAUGGCCAAGAGCCACCAGGUAAUAAUUGAUUCAAUGCCACGUAUGGUUUCGUACUAAGUCCAAAAUUCGUAUAUUUUACUGCAUGGCCAGAAGUAUAGAAACGAUUGAACUAAUAAUUCUUAGCUUCUCCUCUAAAACCCCCAUUUCUAUAUAACAUUAAUUGUUGUCCUAUCUUGAUCAGAUUCCUGAAAUGGAUGAUCUAAGCCCUGAAAAGGCUUCGGAGACAAAUGAAUCGGUGAUGAAAGAUAUGCAUGACAAAACUAAAACAAAGCAUGAAGAAGAGCCAGAUUUUGCAAGUAACAAGCCAAUUAAUCAGACUACCAUGCCUGAACAAAGUCGAAUUCCUGAAGAAGAAAAUACUAUCAUGGAAAGCAAAACAGAGUCAAGCUUCCCAAAGGAUGCAAUUGAAAAUGCCCUGAAAUCAGACCCUGAAGAGAAGGAUGAGGAAAUGCUAAAGAAUGACGAGUCCUCACAUAUUUUCCCAGAGUCCUCUCCCGACGCUGAUCAUAACAUUGCUGAGGGAUUAUGUCAUCAAGAUGAAGGGAACAAGAUAUAUGAGGAUGCAGCACCAGAAACUGCAUUCGGCAAUCAAAGCUGUGAAGCAAAUGAGGAGCAAAGAGAAACAGAGAAAAAAGAUAUGCCUAUGAAGUACAUUGACACUGUAAACAGUCAAGAAGAGACGAUACAUAAAGAAGAUUCUGAUAAUGUGGAAGAGAGCGAGAAGUGUGCAGGAGAGGAUGGAACCGCUUUAACACUUGAGCGAGCAUCUGCAGCAAAGGAUGAUGAACAAAGAGAAGAGAAAUUUCAAAAUCCUCAUGACAUAGAAUCAGAAAUGGACGUUAAGAAAGAAAAGACAACCUCUGAAGCAGAAAGCUCCAAGGUAGCGCACUUUUGGCAAAAACAUCACAAAUAUGUCCAUCUCCUUUAUCCAGUAUCCCACAUAUCAAAUUCCGAAAUUCCUAUUAUCUCCUCUUAUUUAUUCAAGAACUAUUAAGUUAGUUGAUUGUUAAUAUACAUAAAAAGGUGUAUAAAACCAAAUAAAAAGGAAAAUGGAAUCUUAAUUUUUUAAGGUUAUGAUAAAUCAACUUAUAGGUAAAUACACUACCUUAAAAAUUCACAACGACCAGCCAAACUAUGAACUUACAAUCACCCAAGAAAACCAUCAUCAAACAAAGGUGGUCUACAUACAACCUUUUGAGACAUCAGAUAGAUGUUUGCAUUAAAAAGUUUCAGCAAAGAAAAUAAGUUUUCUUAUCUGCUGUUACAUUCUCCUACUAGGCUUUUGUUAGGCUUCUAGCUAUAUUAGCCAGCAUAAUGAUAUCCUAAAUACCUUACCUUAAAUAAGUAAAAUCACAUAAAUAUGUUCCUCCCUAUAAACCUUAAAAGCAAAUUUGAAAUGUGUAAAAUUUCUAAUUUAAAAAUUUUUACAUUUCUAUUUUCCUGAUAUAAUUUGAAUGGUGUGCAGACCACAGCCUCAGACGGAUUGAGUGAAGAGGCGGACUUUGCAAGCGAAAAGGAUGAAAACAUGUGCAAGAAAGGUGAUUGUGCUAGAGAGACCGUUCAAGAUUUUUCGGAGGAAACUACUCAUAGAGCAGGGAAGGGCGGAGAGGAAACAGAUACAAAGAAUAUUGGAGGUGAAGACAAUGAUAGAGAUGUAAAAGGAAUCCCAGAUGUGGCACCUCAGGGAGAUUAUAAUACAAAGACACCAAAUAAUACAUACACAAAAGAAAUUAUGAUAGCAGUAGAACAAGAAGAUGAGGCGAGGACACAAGUGAGUUCAGAUAAUGAAAAAACAGAAGGUGAAAAGGUAUCAACAUAUCAACUCUGCCCUUUUCAACUUUUUUUAGCCUUUUUAAGCAUUUGCUAUUAACUAAACUGUUGAUACGUGUAAGGAAUUAGGGCUAAAGAGGAAACUUGAGCAACGAUUAUAUAAUUAUAUAGAUAUAAGUCAUAUAUGUUGUUUCCGUGAUAUCGUAUUUUCUUUUGUGCUUGCUAUCAUUAGCUUUAUUUUUUGAUCAAACCAUUUUAUUAACUUCUUACAAUUUCAUUUAAGCAGAUAUCCAGUGUCAAAGGUGACAGUGAACCCACAAAGGUGGAGGAUGAAUACAUAAGCAACACUGUUGUUGAUGCCUCUGAUACAGGAGAGCCAACUGGGAAGCCUGCAAACGUAGACGAUGUGGUAGAUGAUGUGCAGGAAGAAACCAUAGGAUCUAUAUGUGAAGAACAACAUCAGGAAAAUGUUGAGAGCAACGAAAAAAAUGAGGAAGGUGAACAGAGAGGAGAGGAACAUCAAACUCUUCAACAAGAGGAAUUAGUUUCUGAAGUUGAAAAUCAAGAGACAACCUCCACAACAGGAGCUAAAAAGAUGGAGAUCUCAAAAGAAGGCGAAAACCUCAUUAAUAUGGUAACCUGCUUUAUUCAAUUGCAUAGUAUGUUAAAUUCCUUGGGACCUAUCUGGAAGCUAAAAUAACUUACCCAGCAUAUCUCCUCUUACUGACUCGAGAACCAUUUAUUUCUUGAUUGUUAAGGAGCACAAAAUUAUGUCUAAACAAAGAGCAAAAAAAGUAAACAAACUUAUUUUUAAGGAUAUGAUAAAUCACCUUGUAGGUGAACUCGUGAAACAUACUAGUUUAUAUCACUAUAGCUUUUAGGGAAUUGUCUAAAGUCAAACUCUUUUCUCAUAAUCACAAAUUGUUACCUCCAUCCAAACUAGUUAUCUACAUAUACAUUAAGGGUCUGUACGUUGCGCAGUUGUAGAGAUUUUUUACACUCCCUAUCAACCAUUACCACAUGCACCUUGAGCAAACAGUAAGUCAUCUGCUAAACAAGAUACUCGUGCAUCUAAAUAGGCCAUAUAGCUUUUGCAUUGAAAGACAAUACAAUAAUUCUAGCCUGUCAACUAUUUUUGAAACUUGUAUUUUAUUAAACUUCUAAUUUACCAACUGUGGGCAGAUUUCUGAAUCAGUAAAUCUGGAGGAAACUAAAAUUGAAAAUGACACGGAUGACGAGAAGAUCAAGGAGAGCAUUGAAGAUAAUCCCCGAGAUCUUGCCUUGCCUUCACAAACAAUCCAUGAUGUAGCAGAUGAAGACCACGCAGAAGCAGUUCAAAGUUUGGAGGGGAAGGACGGCAAUAUUGCAAGUCUUGAGAAAGAAAGUAUCAAAAGCAAGGGACCUGAUGAGGUUCACCCCAGUGAAUCAGAAGCACAUCAAAGUUUGGAGGACAAAGACAACAAUAUUGUAAGUUUUGAAAAAGAAAGCAUUGAAAGCAAAGGUCCUGAUGAGAUUCAACUCAGUGAAUUAGAAGGCACCAAGGUAGACUUUCUUUUGAAUUCUUCAAAACUUUAUGUAUUUAAUUUAACUAUUCAAUUUGCUUUCCUUAAACUCACUGUUUUUCAAACAUGCCUCCUCAUCUCAAGUUUGACUUUGUGAAAAAUUUGAUCAAACAGGUUGCUGAAAUUGUUAGCACAACUGAUGAGGCUGAAACUACGUCUGUAGAUGGAGGGGAAAGUGUUGAUGUUGACAAAGAUAAGGCAGAGUAUCAAGAGCACAAAAACGUUAGAGAGUCAGUGAUGGAGGAAUAUAAUCAAGGGGAAGCAAAUGAAACACAAAUGGCCAAGAGCCACAAGGUAAUAAUUGAUUCAAUGCCACGUAUGGUUUCUUACUAAGUCCAAAAUUCGUAUAUUUUACUGCGUGGCCAGAAGUAUAGAAACGAUUGAACUAAUAAUUCUUAACUUCUCCUCUAAAACCCCUAUUUCAAUAUAACAUUAAUUGUUGUCCUAUCUUGAUCAGAUUCCUGAAAUGGAUGAUCUAAGCCCUGAAAAGGCUUCGGAGACAAAUGAAUCGGUGAUGAAAGAUAUGCAUGACAAAACUAAAACAAAGCAUGAAGAAGAGCCAGAUUUUGCAAGUAACAAGCCAAUUAAUCAGACUACCAUGCCUGAACAAAGUCGAAUUCCUGAAGAAGAAAAUACUAUCAUGGAAAGCAAAACAGAGUCAAGCUUCCCAAAGGAUGCAAUUGAAAAUGCCC
rnacentral:lncRNA from 1 species